rnacentral:rRNA from 1 species
AUUGAACGCUGGCGGCAGGCCUAACACAUGCAAGUCGAACGAGUGGCGGACGGGUGAGUAAUGUCUGGGAAACUGCCUGACGGAGGGGGAUAACGACUGGAAACGGUAGCUAAUACCGCAUACCAUCGGAUUUGCCCAGAUGGGAUUAGUGAGUAGGUGGGGUAACGGCUCACCUAGGCGACCAUCCCUCGCUGGGCUGAGAGGAUGUCCAGCCACACUGGAACUGAGACACGGUCCAGACUCCUACGGGAGGCAGCAGUGGGGAAUAUUGCACAAUGGGCGCAAGCCUGAUGCAGCCAUGCCGCGUGUAUGAAGAAGGCCUUCGGGUUGUAAAGUACUUUCAGCGGGGAGGCGGUACCCGCAGAAGAAGCACCGGCUAACUCCGUGCCAGCAGCCGCGGUAAUUC